ACACACACCAGCCCAGCCAGAAGCAAGUCCCAGCCUCCAGCCCUCCCCUGGCCUACCUUUUGGGGCCCUUCCCUGAACCAGGCUCCCUGUCCUGCAACUCUGUCAUUCACAGGGAUGAUCCAGGCUCUGGCUGGAUUCUUUACCUACUUUGUAAUCCUGGCUGAGAAUGGUUUUAGGCCUACUGAUCUGCUGGGCAUCCGCCUCCACUGGGAAGAUAAAUACUUGAAUGACCUGGAGGACAGCUACGGACAGCAGUGGACCUAUGAGCAACGAAAAGUUGUGGAGUUCACAUGCCAAACGGCCUUUUUUGUCACCAUCGUGGUUGUGCAGUGGGCAGAUCUCAUCAUCUCCAAGACUCGCCGCAACUCAGUUUUCCAGCAGGGCAUGAGAAACAAAGUCCUAAUAUUUGGGAUCCUGGAGGAGACACUCUUGGCUGCAUUUCUGUCCUACACUCCAGGCAUGGACGUGGCCCUGCGAAUGUACCCACUCAAAUGGAGUUUUGCUCUUAUUGCCCAGGCUGGAGUGAAAUGUCACAUUCUCGGCUUACUGCAACCUCCGCCUCCCAGGUUCAAGCGAUUCUCCUGCCACAGCCUUCCAAGUAGCUGGGAUUACAG
rnacentral:sRNA from 1 species